UAAGGAAUAUUGGACAAUGGAGGCAACUCUGAUCCAGCCAUGCCGCGUGAAGGAAUAAGGCCCUAUGGGUUGUAAACUUCUUUUAGACGGGACAAAACCCCUUUACGUGUAAAGGGUUGAUGGUACUGUCAGAAUAAGCAUCGGCUAACUUCGUGCCAGCAGCCGCGGUAAUACGAAGGAUGCAAGCGUUAUCCGGAAUUAUUGGGUUUAAAGGGUGCGUAGGCGGACUAAUAAGUCAGUGGUGAAAGCCUGCAGCUUAACUGCAGAAUUGCCACUGAUACUGUUAGUCUUGAGUACAGUUGAGGUAGGCGGAAUGUGUCAUGUCGCGGUGAAAUGCUUAGAUAUGACACAGAACACCGAUUGCGAAGGCAGCUUGCUAAGCUGUAACUGACGCUGAGGCACGAAAGCGUGGGGAGCAAACA
rnacentral:rRNA from 1 species